GAAAAGGCUUACGCCAAAUAUUCCAGGUUUACUGUGGGAAGUGAGUCUCAAAAAUACAAGUUAUCUGUCGGGGGAUACAGCGGAACGGCGGGUGAUAGUCUCGCAUAUCAUAACGGUAUGAAGUUUUCUACAAGAGACCAAGACAAUGACACAUGGAAGAAACAAGCGUGUAGCGUGGAACGUCAAGGAGGAUGGUGGUUUAAGUCAUGCAUCGAUGCUCAUGUUAAUGGACCUUAUCUAAAAUCGGCUAAAAUCACUGCAAUUAGUAUGCAUUGGUACAAAUUUGGAAAUGAAGUCCGUGCUUUAAAGAGAGCAUCAAUGAUGAUCAGACCAAAAAUUUAAAAUUGUUGUUAUGGCCAUUUAUUAAAUUAACAUUUUAUCCUU
rnacentral:misc_RNA from 1 species